UACGGAAGGCAGCAGUGGGGAAUAUUGCACAAUGGGCGAAAGCCUGAUGCAGCUAUGCCGCGUGUAUGAAGAAGGCCUUAGGGUUGUAAAGUACUUUCAUCGGGGAGGAAAAAACAAAACUAAUAAUUUUAUUUCUUGACGUUACCCGAAAAAGAAGCACCGGCUAACUCCGUGCCAGCAGCCGCGGUAAUACGGAGGGUGCUAGCGUUAAUCAGAAUUACUGGGCGUAAAGAGCACGUAGGUGGUUUUUUUAAGUCAGAUGUGAAAUCCCUGGGCUUAACCUGGAACUGCAUUUUGAAACUGAAAUACUAGAGUAUCGUAGAGGGAGGUAGAAUUCUAGGUGUAGCGGUUGAAAUGCGUAGAUAUCUGGAGGAAUACCUGUGGCGAAAGCGGCCUCCUAAACGAAUACUGACACUGAGGUGCGAAAGCGUGGGGAGCAAACAGGGAUUAGGAUACCCGU
rnacentral:rRNA from 1 species